GCCUGUCAAAGCUAGAAAAGGAAAAGAAAAGGUUCUCCCCUGGAGCCUCCCUAAGGAAUGCAGCUCUGUCAGCAUCCCGAGUUUAGCCCAGGGAGACCCUUUUCAGACUUCUAACCUUCAGAACUUAAAGGUAAUAAAUCUGUAUGGUCUUAAGCCAUUAUGCGGAGAAGGCAAUGGCACCCCACUCCAGUGUUCUUGCCUGGAAAAUCCCAUAGAUGGAGGAGCCUGGUGGGCUGCUGUCUGUGGGGUCGCACAGAGUCGGACACGAGUGAAGCGACUUAGCAGCAUCAGCCAACCAUUAUGUUUCUGACCCCAAUUUCCACUCAUUAUCAGAGAGCUGAAUUCUAAAUCAACGAUUGUGGAGAAGAGAUGUGCAAGUUGAAUAAAACAUUUCCAGAACAGCCUGAAUAAUGGUCCUGAAUAAAGGGAACUGAAAUGUUCUUGAAUUGUAAUUGGAAAAAAUUCAAGUGUGUGUACUCAGGAGCACAUCUACUAAGAAGAGUCACCAGCCUUACGAUGCCACAGGCAGGCACAGACACAGAACUAUACCCACCGGAAGGGAGGAGGCAUGUGUCUAUGGAAGAAAACUGGGAUGUUCUUAUAACCUCCUGCAGAAUCUGCCAAAUGCACGUGAGUGGUUUCACCUCUUCAGAUCAUCUCCUGCGGCUAAGCGCUGAGAGAAAGAUCAGCUACCUAAUUUUCCAGGCUUGGUGCAAGUCGAAAAUGUAGGACCUCUUUCUUCGAAUAGCGGGAAACAAAUGCUAAACAAGGUAUGUCAAAUAAAAUCCCUUUCUUCUGUGCUGCUUCUACCUCU
rnacentral:lncRNA from 1 species